rnacentral:rRNA from 1 species
UACGUAGGGGGCAAGCGUUGUCCGGAUUUAUUGGGCGUAAAGAGCGUGUAGGCGGCCAGAUAGGUCCGUUGUGAAAACUCGAGGCUCAACCUCGAGACGCCGAUGGAAACCCCCUAACUAGAGUCCGGAAGAGGAGAGUGGAAUUCCUGGUGUAGCGGUGAAAUGCGCAGAUAUCAGGAAGAACACCCGUGGCUAAGGCGGCUCUCUAGUACGGUACUGACGCUGAGACGCGAAAGCGUGGGGAGCGAACAGG